UCCCCGCUGACGGCUCGAGCACACACCUCUGAGACCCGACACGAGUGUGUGUGUGUGUGUGUGUGUGUGUGCGCAUGAGUGUGUAUGUGUGUUCUGGUUUGUGCAGAGCUGUGACAUAUAGGAGGGAAAGACAUGAACGCUCAUGAGAGGAAGCGAGGAAGAGACCUACGUGGACAGCAAGUGUUCCUGCGAGCGGACGACACUCCGGUCUUACACUCCCUACAGCGCUGAGUGUGUAUCAGAUCCAGAGAAAGCCAAUGCAGCGCUUCAGAGACACACACCACGGUGCAGUACA